rnacentral:rRNA from 1 species
CCCUGCCCUUUGUACACACCGCCCGUCGCUACUACCGAUUGAAUGGCUUAGUGAGGUCUCCGGAUUGGCUUCUGGGAGCCGGCAACGGCACCUAGUCGCUGAGAAGUUGAACGAACUUGGUCAUUUAG